UCAGAGGUGACAAAUCAUCAAAUAUAUUUCUUUAAAAAAAAUGUUAUAUAAAAACAGAUGACAGGAGAAUUAAUGAGAACUAUAGAAUAUGAAUUCAAACUGAAUCAUGUCUAUAGUUAAUAGCAUUAAUAAAUUCUUCCACUGAUUAUGAAAAAGAAUACUAUUGUUUAUCAAGCAAUAACAAAUAUUUUGAAAAUAUUUUGUCUUUGUUCUUACUUUUUGAAAAGCGUUUUGUCAAACUAAAUGACUGAGUGUUGUCAGCAGCUGAGGUGUUUCUGCUCUCAGUGUGUUGAAGUGUUGUUUCUCUCUCUCUGCUGGAGUUUGUGUUCACUCGAGUGGAAUAGAGGUUUUUGUACGAGUGUUUCAUUAGAUUGUAUCACUGUGGGUUGACUUUCGGUGGAGGAACUAAACUGGUGCUCGCUGGUCCCACAGUGAAGCCCUCAGUGUCUCUGCUGCCGCCCUCUUCUCUGCAGAUCUCUGGAGACUCAGCCGCACUGCUCUGCCUGCUCAGCUCUUACUCUCCACAGGGGGCGCUGGUGAGCUGGACACUGGACGGCUCAGAGGUCACCGAGGGGGUUGUGACCAGCGCAGAGAGCGAGCAGGAUGGCCGCUACAGCCGCAGUAGUGUCCUGACCCUCAGCAAAGCACGCUGGGAAGAGGGAGAGCUGUAUGUCUGCAGAGUAACACAUGAUGGAGCUCCUCAUGAGGCCUCGUUCCAAAAGAGUCGCUGUUAGUCGCUCGCAGUGCUGAUGUUUCUCCAGUGAGCGCUGCUCUCUCCUGAAGAUGAGCGUAUCUGAGUGUCCUGUGUCAGGCAGGAUUCACAUGAGUCUAGUGCUGCAGCUGUAUUCAUUUACAACUCAAUACUGAAAGAGAGCUCUAGUGUCAAAGCACUGGCUGAUCUUUCAAUCUGCUGUGUUUGCUGCAACAUUCAAUAAAGCUUCUCAACAAAC